UACGUAGGGCGCAAGCGUUAUCCGGAAUUAUUGGGCGUAAAGAGCUCGUAGGCGGUUUGUCGCGUCUGCCGUGAAAGUCCGGGGCUCAACUCCGGAUCUGCGGUGGGUACGGGCAGACUAGAGUGAUGUAGGGGAGACUGGAAUUCCUGGUGUAGCGGUGAAAUGCGCAGAUAUCGGGAGGAACACCAGUGGCGAAGGCGGCACUCUGGGCCGGAACUGACGCUGAGGAGCGAAAGCGUGGGGAGCGAACAGG
rnacentral:rRNA from 1 species